GCCAAAUAAAGCCCAACCACCACCACCAGACCCAACAAGACAAAACAAAACAUUUUACCAGAAAAGUAAUUGAGAACAAACCUCAAACUUGACGCUAUAGAGACAGUACUGCAAAGGAAAGAUAACAUCACACACCUUUAAAGCAAAGAAAAGCAGAGAAAAAAACACGUACCUUUUGCAUCACCGUCCAGCCAGACUAACCAAACAAGAAGCACCCCAGUAUGUAACCCCGAAUGCAGGUGAGCUAUUACUUAGCAGCUCGCACGGAGCCAACUCGUUUCUGUAGCAAAAGAAUGAGAAGACUAAGUAAUAGAGGCGAAAAACCUAUCGAACCUGCCGAUAGCUGGUUGCCUGAUAAAUGAAUAUAAGUUCAGCCUCGAUUAACAAACAAGUACCACCCAGACCCACACUUUCUCAAUCGAGACAUAGUCAAUGAAGGUACAGCUCCAUUGACACAGGAUACAACCUACCUUGCAGAGAUAGACAAAAUAUUGCUCUUCCCGUGGGCCUUAAAACAGCCACCACAAACUAUUACGUUACAGUAACCACACCAAAAAUACAAAAACACAUGUCAAACUCUCAAACUACUAACCAGGCCACUCUAUCCAAUAGAAGUAACCAUGCUGAAACCAGUAACAAGGAACACCCUCUUAAAACAAAAGCACCAAAAUACACCAGACCAAAAUACCUAUGAAACACAAUAAACAAACCAUAACACUAACUGUAGACCCAACACAGGAUUGUUUACAAGAAAGGCACCAAUCUUCAAAAGGAACUCGGCAACCAAUCUUUCCAACUGUUUACCAAAAACAUAGCCAUUAGAUAAGCAAGUACUAAAGGUAACGCCUGCCCGGUGAGUAUAACUUUAACGGCCGCGAUUAAACGUGCAAAGGUAGCGCAAUCACUUGUUCCAUAAAUCGGGACCCGUAUGAAUGGCCACAUGAGAAAGAAACUGUCUCUUGAAGAUAGCCAGUGAAACUGAUCUUCCUGUAAAAAAGCAGGCAUGAAAAAGCCGGACAAAAAGACCCUGUGAAACUUAAAAUAAAACACUAAACCCAAUAGUGCCUACUUUUAGUUGGGGCAACUUAAGAAACAUUAAACAUCUUAAAACUUUCCAAACCAACAAGUUUAAACACCAAAAAUAGACCCGGUAACACCGAGUGACGAACCAAGCUACUCCAGGGAUAACAGCGCUAAAUUCUUCAAGAGUCCAUAUCAACAAGAAUUCUUACGACCUCGAUGUUGGAUCAGGGUACCCAAACAGUGCAAAAGCUGUUGACGGUUCGUUUGUUCAACGAUUAAAAUCCUACGUGAUCUGAGUUCAGACCGGAGCAAUCCAGGUCGGUCUAUAUCCGCUAAUAACACUUCAACUAGUACGAAAGGACCGAUGAAGUAGGGACAACCCCACGGGGGCACCCUCCAUAAUGCGCCCUGAAAAAACUCAAGGGCCAAACAACAAACCACCACAGCCCAAAAAAAGGGCUUGCACCG
rnacentral:rRNA from 1 species